CGCACGUACGAGCGACGUCACAUGAGGCACUCGAUCCUCUUCUCGCGAUGUGCUCCCGCUCCAUCCCCCCCUCCGCCGCCGCCGCCCCCCACCACUCCCCUGUCUCCGGCUCAGCCACCUCCACCUCCACCACCCCACCCUUCUCUCCAUCGCCCGCGGCACUCGAUCCGGUGCCGCGCCGAUCUGGCGGUGGGUGCGGCGUCUUGCUCCGGUGGCGACGACGUCCUUAUGAUCCAGAGAAAGAGAGACAGGGAGUGGGGGAGCCCAUCGCCGCCGCAACAUCGAUGACCGCCCGCGCGUCUCAUUCACCUCCAAGCUUCGACGACGGCAGAUUAGCAGCCCCUGCGGCCGCGAUGACCCUGGAUCUACGGCCACGGCGGUGCCAGCGGCCCGACUCGGUGCAGGACGCAACUAACCCUAGCUGCACUGGGAGCUCGGCUCGCCUUCCCCUCCGUCUCCGGUGGACAAACGCCUCUUCUUUCGCUCCGCCCUAGCUAUGGUAUAAGCUCCUCAAAAGUCUACUUUCUCUCAUGUGCUCGUGUGCCCACGACCAUCCACCCGUGGCCAAUCAAUCUUACGCUGGCCAUCACGCCAUGGCAAGUUCUAGGAUUUUUGGCUUGUGCGGAUGCCCUGUCAUCCAAAGAUCUGUGCUUGUUGUGUCAUGUACGUAUAAUACAGUAGUACUAAGUGUCACCGUUUAGUGGAUUUAGGCCUCAAUCUCAACAUCAUCGUUUGAUUCACAUGGUUCUUAUAGAUGUGUGCAACUUCUGUGCAAGUCAUCCAAGAUGUAUCUUUGCUUCUUUUAAUUUUUUCAGUUGCUUUGAUCUCGAUAAGAUGACUGUGACUGCUCUGUCGGAUGGGUUUGGAUCACUUGUCCAUUUCCAGCAGGACUCACUGUGAUUAUUCACCUAACCCAAUGUUGCUGAGGACAAUUUUGAUUUGAAGUUAGCAAUGCAAUCAGCAGCCAGUUAUUUAUAUUCGGAAAACGAGAAAUCUCAAGCUUGCUUAAGCAAAGCAAAGUAUGUGCCAUACUGCCAUUAGCUCUUCACAGUCAUGGUUGCCCAAUUCUGGACUCUGUCAAUUCAAAUAACUGCACCUUUGGUCCUGACAUAUCAAGUAAGGUGUUUCAUGUUGUCUAUUCCACCAGUUCCUUCAUUUUGAGAUAGUGCCUAAAAGGGUUGAUCUUAUUGUCUUCUUUAUUUUAUAAUAACUGGCUCCACUGAUUACGUAUUUGCUCUGUUUGGCUUGCACUUUUAUUGCAUAUUCUUCUCUGACUUUACUACUUAAUGUAUCUUCGUGUGCAUGCAGGUAGACUGGGAUGAAUCUGCGCCCCACCGAUCUUGUUGGGUACCCUCCUAUUAUGAAGAAGCCUAGAAUUUCUAACACAAUUGCACCUCUAUGAUCCGGAGAUGUUGGCAUGUCAAGUUUUUGCUGGGACCACAUUGUGUUCUCUUCUGUCGGCAGAUUAAAUGAUGAAGGCGUUGACACUUUUCCCCAAUGUCUGGGCAAAGUCCAGAAAAAUGGUGGGACACCAUCUAAUGAGGAGCGGCAUGUUGUACCAGGUUUAGAAGCAUCAGGUUCAGAAGGCAGGGGCGCAGACAACAUCAAUUGAUAAGCGUUUAAUCAUGGUCUUAUCAACAUGAUGGGUGUCGAUCUCGCGGUGUUUCCAUGCCGGGCGGAGUGGAGGAUGCCGCUUGCAUAGCUGCUUCAUCCGAAGGAUCGCCAUGACGAUGAUGCCAUCGCUUGACUAGGCGAGCCGAGGCAGGAUGCGAAGGCGGAGGUUGCCGCUCCCGCAGCUGCUCGGCCCUCUCUCCCUUGGUGUCGAGUUCUUCUUCGACCUUGGCCGUACACCGAGAGAGGAAAGGACACGAUGGAUGUCAACAUGAGAAGGGCAGAGGACGUGCUGGCGCACAAAUGGCUCCUGGAGCUGGCUAAGGAUUCGGUGCAGCGCCAGGCUUUCGCCGUGGGGAUCGUGCAAGUGAUUUUUUUGUCCCUCCUCGCGACACUCGGAAUAAUAUAGGAAUGCAAUUCGGUGCUAAACUGAUGGAGUCAAAAUUCGACUAUCUGCAAUUUUAUUAUCUGGUCUGAAUCUGUGCUGAUCGUCCCUGGUUGGCCUCGUUGGGUUGGGGGUUAAGUUUUUUGUAGUUGGGAUUUCCUAUACUUAUAUAUGGUGAUACAAAGUUGUACUUGUUAGUAGUUAAUGUAUGAAAAAUAAGCAGGAUUCAUGCUCC